CCAUUGAAACUGCCGGUCUUGAAUUCGGUUGAGGCAGAUGGAAUAUAACAUGUAGCGGUGAAAUGCUUAGAUAUGUUAUAGAACACCGAUUGCGAAGGCAGUCUGCUAAGUCGACAUUGACGCUGAGGCACGAAAGCGUGGGGAGCGAACAGGAUUAGAUACCCUGGUAGUCCACGCCCUAAACGUUGAUUACUCGCUGUUGGCGAUACACUGUCAGCGGCUAAGCGAAAGCGUUAAGUAAUCCACCUGGGAAGUACGACCGCAAGGUUGAAACUCAAAGGAAUUGACGGGGGCCCGCACAAGCGGAGGAGCAUGUGGUUUAAUUCGAUGAUACGCGAGGAACCUUACCUGGGCUUAAAUGUCAGAUGUUAUCUUGUGAAAGCAGGAGUCUCUUCGGAGCAUUUGGCAAGGUGCUGCAUGGCUGUCGUCAGCUCGUGCCGUGAGGUGUUGGGUUGAGUCCCGCAACGAGCGCAACCCCUAUCAUUAGUUGCCAUCAGGUAAAGCUGGGGACUCUAAUGAAACUGCCUACGUAAGUAGAGAGGAAGGCGGGGACGACGUCAAGUCAUCAUGGCCCUUACGCCCAGGGCUACACACGUGCUACAAUGGUAAGUACAAUGAGAUGCCACUUGGUAACAAGGCGCAAACCUCAAAAAGCUUAUCUCAGUUCGGAUUGAGGUCUGCAACUCGACCUCAUGAAGCUGGAUUCGCUAGUAAUCGGAUAUCAGCAAUGAUCCGGUGAAUACGUUCCCGGGCCUUGUACACACCGCCCGUCAAGCCAUGGAAGCUGGGAGAACCUGAAGUCGAUAACCGCAAGGAGUCGCCUAGGGUUAUACUAGUAACUGGGGCUAAGUCGUAACAAGGUAACC
rnacentral:rRNA from 1 species